CUGAAUUAUUCACCCUUGUCUUUUGCGUACUUCUUGUUUCCUUGGUGGGUUCGCCCACCACUAGGACAAACAUAAACCUUUUGUAAUUGCAAUCAGCGUCAGUAACAAAUUAAUAAUUACAACUUUCAACAACGGAUCUCUUGGUUCUGGCAUCGAUGAAGAACGCAGCGAAAUGCGAUAAGUAGUGUGAAUUGCAGAAUUCAGUGAAUCAUCGAAUCUUUGAACGCACAUUGCGCCCUUUGGUAUUCCAAAGGGCAUGCCUGUUCGAGCGUCAUUUGUACCCUCAAGCUUUGCUUGGUGUUGGGCGUCUUGUCUCUAGCUUUGCUGGAGACUCGCCUUAAAGUAAUUGGCAGCCGGCCUACUGGUUUCGGAGCGCAGCACAAGUCGCACUCUCUAUCAGCAAAGGUCUAGCAUCCAUUAAGCCUUUUUUUCAACUUUUGACCUCGGAUCAGGUAGGGAUACCCGCUGAACUUAAGCAU
rnacentral:rRNA from 2 species